GAUGAACGCUAGCGGCAGGCCUAAUACAUGCAAGUCGAACGGUGUAGCAAUACACAGUGGCGCACGGGUGCGUAACACGUGUGCAACCUACCUAUCAUUGGGGGAUAGCCUUUGGAAACGGAGAUUAAUACCGCAUAAGACAGUAGCAUGGCAUCAUGCAGCUGUUAAAGCUUUGGCGAUGAUAGAUGGGCAUGCGUCCAAUUAGUUAGUUGGUGAGGUAACGGCUCACCAAGACGAUGAUUGGUAGGGGAUCUGAGAGGAUAAUCCCCCACACUGGCACUGGGAUACGGGCCAGACUCCUACGGGAGGCAGCAGUAGGGAAUAUUGGGCAAUGGACGGAAGUCUGACCCAGCCAUGCCGCGUGCAGGAAGAAGGCGUUAUGCGUUGUAAACUGCUUUUUUAUAGGAAGAAGGAGACCUUGCGAGGUUUGGUGACGGUACUAUAAGAAUAAGCACCGGCUAACUCCGUGCCAGCCGCCGCCGUAA
rnacentral:rRNA from 1 species